rnacentral:rRNA from 1 species
UUAUAUAAGUUAUCGUUUAUUUGAUAGUACCUUACUACUUGGAUAACCGUGGUAAUUCUAGAGCUAAUACAUGCUGAAAAUCCCGACUUCGGAAGGGAGGUAUUUAUUAGAUUAAAAACCAAUGCCCUCUGGGCUCCUUGGUGAUUCAUAAUAACUUUUCGAAUCGCACGGCCUUGCGCCGGCGAUGGUUCAUUCAAAUUUCUUCCCUAUCAACUUUCGAUGUUUGGGUAUUGGCCAAACAUGGUCGCAACGGGUAACGGAGGGUUAGGGCUCGACCCCGGAGAAGGAGCCUGAGAAACGGCUACUACAUCCAAGGAAGGCAGCAGGCGCGCAAAUUACCCAAUCCCGAUUCGGGGAGGUAGUGACAAUAAAUACUGAUACAGGGCUCUUUUGGGUCUUGUAAUUGGAAUGAGUACAAUUUAAAUCUCUUAACGAGGAACAAUUGGAGGG